GGCCUACCAUGGUGGUAACGGGUAACGGGGUGUUAGGGCACGACACCGGAGAGGGAGCCUGAGAAACGGCUACCACAUCCAAGGAUGGCAGCAGGCGCGCAAAUUACCCAAUCCCGACACGGGGAGGUAGUGACAAUAAAUAACAAUACGGGGUCCUUUAGGGUUUCGUAAUUGGAAUGAGUACAAUUUAAAUCUCUUAACGAGGAACAAUUGGAGGGCAAGUCUGGUGCCAGCAGCCGCGGUAAUUCCAGCUCCAAUAGCGUAUAUUAAAGUUGUUGCAGUUAAAAAGCUCGUAGUUGAAUUUCGGGAUCAGUACGCUGGUCAUGCCUUUGGUAUGUACUGGUGUUACUGGUUCCUACCUUCUGACGAACCGUCAUGUCAUUAAUUUGGUGUGGCGGGAAAUCAGGACUGUUACUUUGAAAAAAUUAGAGUGUUUAAAGCAGGCUCGCGCUUGAAUACAUUAGCAUGGAAUAAUGAAAUAGGACGUUCGAUCCUAUUUUGUUGGUUUCUAGGAUUGACGUAAUGAUUAAUAGGGAUAGUUGGGGGCAUUAGUAUUCAAUUGUCAGAGGUGAAAUUCUUGGAUUUAUUGAAGACUAACUACUGCGAAAGCAUUUGCCAAGGAUGUUUUCAUUAAUCAAGAACGAAAGUUAGGGGAUCGAAGACGAUCAGAUACCGUCGUAGUCUUAACCAUAAACUAUGCCGACUAGGGAUCGGAUGAUGUUAAUUUUUUAAUGACUCAUUCGGCGCCUUACG
rnacentral:rRNA from 1 species